GGCCUNCNNNGCGGUGACGGNNNNCCGGCCUGAGAGGGCGACCGGCCACACUGGGACUGAGACACGGCCCAGACUCCUACGGGAGGCAGCAGUGGGGAAUAUUGCACAAUGGGCGCAAGCCUGAUGCAGCGACGCCGCGUGAGGGAUGACGGCCUUCGGGUUGUAAACCUCUUUCGCCAGGGACGAAGCGGAAGUGACGGUACCUGGAGAAGAAGCACCGGCUAACUACGUGCCAGCAGCCGCGGUAAUACGUAGGGUGCGAGCGUUGUCCGGAAUUAUUGGGCGUAAAGAGCUCGUAGGCGGUGUGUCGCGUCUGCCGUGAAAACCUCAGGCUUAACUUGGGGCGUGCGGUGGAUACGGGCAUCACUUGAGUUCGGUAGGGGAGACUGGAAUUCCUGGUGUAGCGGUGGAAUGCGCAGAUAUCAGGAGGAACACCGGUGGCGAAGGCGGGUCUCUGGGCCGAUACUGACGCUGAGGAGCGAAAGCGUGGGGAGCGAACAGGAUUAGAUACCCUGGUAGUCCACGCUGUAAACGUUGGGCGCUAGGUGUGGGGUGCUGUUCACGUGUCCCGUGCCGUAGCUAACGCAUUAAGCGCCCCGCCUGGGGAGUACGGCA
rnacentral:rRNA from 1 species